UUUCAGCUAAGAAGGGCUGUUAUGUCCUCAUUCUGCGGGGAAGGGGAGCAUGCAUAUUAGCCUCAGAAAUAGCAUUUAUUCAGCACCUAGUAUGUGCUUAGCUCUGCACGAAGCAAGUCUUGGGGAGAGCUAGGUGUGCAGAAGUCUACAAUCGUGAGCACCACAACCAGAAGAGUGGAGAGCUUUCAGCAGGUGGGACCCUUCCGGAUCGCCAGAGGGUCCAGUCCACCCAACACUAGUUGAGCAUCUGCGAUGUGGCUCUAGCUCCCAAGGAGCUCCUGGUUGAGUGGGAGGGAGAGAGAGGAAACGGCAACUGGGAUCAGACAAUGGGAUUUUGAAGGAAAACAUGAGAGGCUGAUAUUUCAGUUGUGACACGGGACCUUAGGACAAUCUUCUACGCUUCCUCACCGCAGAGGGGCCAGCCAUCUCUCGAAGCCCUUCAGCACCUGCUCGUCUUCUCUGAAACUUAAAGAUGGAACCUACAGAUUUCUGGAGCGACCACGGAAGGACAAAGCACACCCGGAAGCGUGAGUGUUGCCUUGUGGAAGAAGGGAAGCCAGUGUUAAUAGCACGAACAUCGGUGUCAGCCAGACCUCGGUUCAAGUCCAGCCCUGUCUCUCCUUGA